UUGGAUGUGGUGUAUGGUGCACGCCCGCUUCUACUGGAGCUCAGCGAAAAGCGCGAAGUCAAACGGGAGGCCUGGGUUCGAUUCCCAGCGUCCAAA